UCUGGAUCUCCAGUUUUUCUCUGAUUUGCAGGACUGAAUCUAAAGAGCUUAUUGUUUUGUAAUGCCAAGGUUAAGGGUUUCCAGAUAUUUUCAUUUUUUUCCAAAAUGCCCCAGAGUAACAAAGACAAAGGCUCAAAGACAGAUAAUGGAUCUCCUAGUAACACCUGAAUGUCUUUUAUGCCAUUGAAUGUACACAGCUGGACUCAGAGCAAUCCUUUGACUGAUGGUAGUGGAAAUAUUGACUUUGGGAGUGAAAGAUGAAAAUACAAUACACAAUAACACAAUACAUCCUCUACUUUUAGAAGUGAUUUUCAAGGCUAGAUAUUUAGUAACUGCUCUAAAAGAUGUUUGUAGAUCAAUUUUUUUUUGUUCUAUGUCCUUUGGGAAAUGACCUUGCUGCUAAGAAUGAAGAAGGCAGCAUAUGUGCUCCUUUAGACAUGCUGAAAUAAAAGGAAUAUCUUCACACAUAAUGGUUUUUCUUCAUGGAUAUUUCUAUAGAGAACUACAGCUCAUGUCUGUAAAUCACACAUUUAUUGCCCAUGUGGAUCACAUCCUGCACCCACUGAAAACAAACACAAGUUUUCACUUCAGCAAAAAAAGUUUUAUCUGGUGAGCUUAUGGCCAGGUUGUAAAUGGUAACCAAGUGCAUCAAAAUGAUCACUGUGUGAGUGAAAGAUCUUGAACCUGCAAAUCCCUUCUCUCUGGAAAAUUUCUCAAUGACUUCUGUAGGCAUUCAGUUCCACAUCUGCAAAAAUACCAGAGUGAAAAAUACUAUUGUGUGAAUAGAGCCUGCUUUUCUUUCACAAAAAUGUUGAUUUUUUUAAAUCACAGUUUUCACAAUUGAACAAUAUUUGCUAUGCAGCUAAGAAAUCCUUAUC